UCAGAUCCUCUUUGUUGUAUCCUCAGGUUAAUCUCUGUAGCAUAUAUCUUGAUCAGCCAUAAUCACUCUUUCUGCUUGAAUCCAAGUGAAAGACUUUAUUCUUUCCGUUGAAAUCAAGUCUUUCACUACUUGUGUCUGAGCCGAAUUUCUUUUCAUACAAAGCAAGUGCUUUAUAAUGGUUAAUAACUUUGCUUUUCAGAUCAAGUGUCUGAAUGUACCCACCUUUUCUAAAACUAUAUUUUUAGAAAAUCAGGCAAGUCCUCGAAUUGUUCCUUGUGAGAGCAGGUCCUUCAGUCAAGUCCUGAAGAAGACUUAGUUUUCCAGGAGAUAAAGCCUUCAUGAUUUGCAGCCCCCAUCAAGCCCUACAAGCCCUUAAUUUGAAGUGAAUUGCUUAUGAUCAAAUAAUAGACCAUCAUAUGAAAUUGGUAUUAGCUUCAUAUACCACAACUUGUGUAAGCAUUCUUCUUUCUCUUAGAGUCAGAAGAAAAUUAAUACUGAUGAAGGAAUCCUUGCACUGGGAUUACUCUGGAUGUGCUCAAUCAUCAUAACAUAAGCCUAAACUGAGUUCAGAACUGUAGUUCAAAGCUAAACAUCUGCAUGAUGUCACAUCUGUUGCACUUUUGGGGAAGAUUUGUAUGUAAAUGUACGGAAAUAAAAAGUGUUUCCCAAUUAACAAAUCUCCCCUGGAAUGUCUCCCUACCUCCAUUGAUGGUAUCCAGUGAAGGGCAUUUCACGACCUGUGACUUCAAGUAAUAAAGACUCUACCUGUGACCAAGGUAUGUCCCAGACCUAACUGUGAGGUAGACAUGUUUCCUUCCCUACCAUUUCCUUCUUCUCUCAUUUCUCCCAUUUCCGAAUAAGUUGACUCAUUCAGACUUUUGUGCGAUGUGACUCCAUGCCAGGUUCUGCUGCCAGGCUGUGACACAUGCUUCAAAAUCAGCCCUCUCUUCUUUUCCCCACUGAUGUCUCUUCAUUCCCAGGUCACAGUUGGCUUUCUGAGGAUAUUUAGCUGAUAAAUACCCUUAAUCAUAUGUUUGGAGCUAUGAUAAUUGAACGCAUUAAAGCAUUUCAAAUAAAUG